AUUGAACGCUGGCGGCAGGCCUAACACAUGCAAGUCGAGCGGAUGAAGGGAGCUUGCUCCUGGAUUCAGCGGCGGACGGGCGAGUAAUGCCUAGGAAUCUGCCUGGUAGUGGGGGAUAACGUCCGGAAACGGGCGCUAAUACCGCAUACGUCCUGAGGGAGAAAGUGGGGGUUCUUCGGACCUCACGCUAUCUGCUGAGCCUAGGUCGGAUUAGCUAGUUGGUGGGGUAAAGGCCUACCAAGGCGACGAUCCGUAACUGGUCUGAGAGGAUGAUCAGUCACACUGGAACUGAGACACGGUCCAGACUCCUACGGGAGGCAGCAGUGGGGAAUAUUGGACAAUGGGCGAAAGCCUGAUCCAGCCAUGCCGCGUGUGUGAAGAAGGUCUUCGGAUUGUAAAGCACUUUAAGUUGGGAGGAAGGGCAGUAAGUUAAUACCUUGCUGUUUUGACGUUACCAACAGAAUAAGCACCGGCUAACUUCGUG
rnacentral:rRNA from 1 species